rnacentral:lncRNA from 1 species
AGAUUUGCAGUUCAAACUCUCAGAUUUGCAGUCCAAUAAAACUCAGGCUGUGAAUUUUGUUUAAAGUGGCCUUAAACUAGUAGUGUCUCCAAGCACUUGGCAGAAGUAAGUUCCAGUCCUCUCUGGAGGAAUGCACCUUCAUCCUAGGCCUCAAAGAGUUCUCACAAAUAAUUUUCUGAAGGAAAUGAGCAUCUUAUAGUAAAAGAUAUCUAAGCACAUAAGGAAGACACAAGAGUAAGAACCAACAGAAUAAGAGACAGCAGAAACGACUCACAAAUACUUCAGAUAUUGGAUAUGUCGGAGGGAUGAUAAAACAACUACAAUGCUUCCUAUGUUUAAAGAAAUUUAAAACCCUAGUUACUACAAAAGAUGUUAGGAGAGAUUAGAAAAAUGAGUCAACAUCUGAGACUAUUCCAAGAUUUGAGCCUCUUCACAUGAUACACACACAUAAACAAGUAGAAAUCAUUGAUCUUCUAAAAUGUUUACAGAGUUGUGCAUGAGCUAAAUUGGCUAUAGUCAAAAGUACAUUCUCUCUAACCUUUAAUCCUUUGAAGAAAAGAAGUGGCAAUUUCAUGAUUUAUCUUGCUCAGCACUAUUUUAAAAAGAAAUGUAAAUACAGCUGUUCCUCACUUAAUCUGACUCACUUCAAAAAUAAGUGAUGGCUCAACCGAAAUGAAAGCUUUGCUAUUGCCAGUUCCACCGCACACCUCUCCCCACCUACCACUCCAUCAAGCCAGCCUCUGGCUUCACACUAGUCAACACGAGGAGGAGCCAGUGGUAUGCUGAAGGACAUCAGCACCAGACACAGAAAGUCAACUGUACACGCCUCUUUCCGACUCUGUGUUCAGUGACGUCAUCUUGGAGGCUUGGAAUCAUCCAUGGUAGCAGAAUUUAUCCGUGGAAAUCAGACAAACACUACAAAUCAGGGCUUCUCUUGCAAACCCCACCUCCAGAGUCGAUUAUUAAAUAUUUGUCAGCAACACCACUGGGAAGAACCAUAAAUAAUGAGCACACGUGAUAAGAUCUGACAUUGCCUUGCUGGAGCAUGGAUGUGAAUUGGAGGGGAGUUGGGGAAUGAAAUUCGUAAAUAUAAAUGUCUUCCAAGAAAGUGUGAAAGGAAAUGGUGAGGUUAAAAGGUUGUUCAGCAGCUUUUUAGGAAAGUUGGAAGGGUGGUGAGAUGAUUGUGUCAUAUAUUAUUUGAGUGGUGGGCUUUGGAAUCAGGUACACCAGGGACAGAACCUGGCUCUCUCACUGUUGGAUAUGUGAUCUUGGGAUGGGCGCCUGACUGCUCCAAAUUUUAGUUUCCUCAUUUGUGAACAGAAAUACUGUGUUAUUAUGAGGCUCACAUGAGGGAAGUAAUUUGAAACCUAGCACAAUGCCAAACACAUAGUAAAUUGUUACUUUCCCUCAGGAAACGUUAAUUAUGACUACUUUUGUUAUUAUUGGUAUUAAGUCAGGAAGCAGCCCAAAAUGUGUAUACACAUAUUUACUGAGCACCUUUCAUUGCACCCAGCCCUCUGCUGGACACUGCUGCUGAGCUGUGUAAACUCAAGGAGUUUAUGAUGUAGCGAUGCCAUCACAUUUUCUAAUCAGACUGCAAGAAGGCAGAAUGGAAAGGUGUUUACUUAGGGAUGUUUGCUGACACUCCAGAGGAAAAAUAUUUACAAAAAAGGAAGUAGACCAAAAGAAUUAAUAGGAUUGUGAACUAGAAGAACUGAGUUAUGAAAUAGAGUGUGGAAUGAUUGCUCUUUCUGCUCAUGCUUCGGCAGUAACUGAAAUAAUGUCUCAGGCAUUGGAAUACUUCCAGAGACUACAUGGAGGAUAAAAAACCUCCUGUUUGAACAAGAGAAAAUUUUAGCAAAUGAUUUAAAAUGGUUAAAGGCAAGAACCUCUUGUCUCUUUUCAAGAUAGUAUAGAAUGAUGUUGCGUAACACAAUGCGAAAUAAAGAGAUAAUUAAUUGGCA